rnacentral:rRNA from 1 species
CAGUCGCCGCGGGAAUACGUAGGGUGCAAGCGUUAAUCGGAAUUACUGGGCGUAAAGCGUGCGCAGGCGGUUGUGUAAGACAGGUGUGAAAUCCCCGGGCUUAACCCGGGAACUGCGCUUGUGACUGCACAGCUAGAGUAUGGCAGAGGGGGGUGGAAUUCCGCGUGUAGCAGUGAAAUGCGUAGAGAUGUGGAGGAACACCGAUGGCGAAGGCAGCCCCCUGGACCAAUACUGACGCUCAUGCGCGAAAGCGUGGGGAGCAAACAGGAUUAGAUACCCCCGUAGUCCCUGUCUCUUAUAC